rnacentral:rRNA from 1 species
GAGUUAUGGCUACAGAACGAACGCUGGCGGCAGGUCUUAGGCAUGCAAGUCGAACGGAUGACAAGGGAGCUUGCUUCCUGAAGUCAGUGGCGCACGAGUGAGUAACGCGUGGGAAACUGCCCUUCACUGGGGAAUAACGUUUGGAAACGAACGCUAAUACCGCAUACGCCCGCAAGGGGAAAGAUUUAUCGGUGAUGGAUGUGCCCGCGUUGGAUUAGCUAGUUGGUGGGGUAAUGGCCUACAAGGCGAUGAUCCAUAGCUGGUCUGAGAGGACGAUCAGCCACGCUGGAACUGAGACACGGUCCAGACUCCUACGGGAGGCAGCAGCUAAGAAUAUUGGGCAAUGGAGGAAACUCUGACCCAGCCAAUGCCGCGUGAAUGAAGAAGGCCUUCGGGUUGUAAAGUUCUUUUAGUCAUGAAGAUGAUGACAGUAGUGACAGAAAAAGCACCGGCUAACUUCGUGCCAGCAGCGGC